AGACCCGAAACCCGGUGAUCUAGCCAUGGGCAGGUUGAAGGUUGGGUAACACUAACUGGAGGACCGAACCGACUAAUGUUGAAAAAUUAGCGGAUGACCUGUGGCUGGGGGUGAAAGGCCAAUCAAACCGGGAGAUAGCUGGUUCUCCCCGAAAGCUAUUUAGGUAGCGCCUCGUGAAUUCAUCUCCGGGGGUAGAGCACUGUUUCGGCUAGGGGGCCAUCCCGGCUUACCAACCCGAUGCAAACUGCGAAUACCGGAGAAUGUUAUCACGGGAGACACACGGCGGGUGCUAACGUCCGUCGUGAAGAGGGAAACAACCCAGACCGCCAGCUAAGGUCCCAAAGUCAUGGUUAAGUGGGAAACGAUGUGGGAAGGCCCAGACAGCCAGGAUGUUGGCUUAGAAGCAGCCAUCAUUUAAAGAAAGCGUAAUAGCUCACUGGUCGAGUCGGCCUGCGCGGAAGAUGUAACGGGGCUAAACCAUGCACCGAAGCUGCGGCAGCGACGCUUAUGCGUUGUUGGGUAGGGGAGCGUUCUGUAAGCCUGUGAAGGUGUGUCGUGAGGCAUGCUGGAGGUAUCAGAAGUGCGAAUGCUGACAUAAGUAACGAUAAAGCGGGUGAAAAGCCCGCUCGCCGGAAGACCAAGGGUUCCUGUCCAACGUUAAUCGGGGCAGGGUGAGUCGACCCCUAAGGCGAGGCCGAAAGGCGUAGUCGAUGGGAAACGGGUUAAUAUUCCCGUACUUGGUGUUACUGCGAAGGGGGGACGGAGAAGGCUAUGUUGGCCGGGCGACGGUUGUCCCGGUUUAAGCGUGUAGGUGUGUGUUCCAGGUAAAUCCGGUUCACUUUAACACUGAGGCGUGAUGACGAGGCACUACGGUGCUGAAGUAACAAAUGCCCUGCUUCCAGGAAAAGCCUCUAAGCAUCAGGUAACAUCAAAUCGUACCCCAAACCGACACAGGUGGUCAGGUAGAGAAUACCAAGGCGCUUGAGAGAACUCGGGUGAAGGAACUAGGCAAAAUGGUGCCGUAACUUCGGGAGAAGGCACGCUGACACGUAGGUGAAGUGAUUUACUCACGGAGCUGAAGUCAGUCGAAGAUACCAGCUGGCUGCAACUGUUUAUUAAAAACACAGCACUGUGCAAACACGAAAGUGGACGUAUACGGUGUGACGCCUGCCCGGUGCCGGAAGGUUAAUUGAUGGGGUCAGCGCAAGCGAAGCUCCUGAUCGAAGCCCCGGUAAACGGCGGCCGUAACUAUAACGGUCCUAAGGUAGCGAAAUUCCUUGUCGGGUAAGUUCCGACCUGCACGAAUGGCGUAAUGAUGGCCAGGCUGUCUCCACCCGAGACUCAGUGAAAUUGAACUCGCUGUGAAGAUGCAGUGUACCCGCGGCAAGACGGAAAGACCCCGUGAACCUUUACUAUAGCUUGACACUGAACAUUGAGCCUUGAUGUGUAGGAUAGGUGGGAGGCUUUGAAGUGUGGACGCCAGUCUGCAUGGAGCCGACCUUGAAAUACCACCCUUUAAUGUUUGAUGUUCUAACGUGGACCCGUUACCCGGGUUGCGGACAGUGUCUGGUGGGUAGUUUGACUGGGGCGGUCUCCUCCUAAAGAGUAACGGAGGAGCACGAAGGUUGGCUAAUCCUGGUCGGACAUCAGGAGGUUAGUGCAAUGGCAUAAGCCAGCUUGACUGCGAGCGUGACGGCGCGAGCAGGUGCGAAAGCAGGUCAUAGUGAUCCGGUGGUUCUGAAUGGAAGGGCCAUCGCUCAACGGAUAAAAGGUACUCCGGGGAUAACAGGCUGAUACCGCCCAAGAGUUCAUAUCGACGGCGGUGUUUGGCACCUCGAUGUCGGCUCAUCACAUCCUGGGGCUGAAGUAGGUCCCAAGGGUAUGGCUGUUCGCCAUUUAAAGUGGUACGCGAGCUGGGUUUAGAACGUCGUGAGACAGUUCGGUCCCUAUCUGCCGUGGGCGCUGGAGAACUGAGGGGGGCUGCUCCUAGUACGAGAGGACCGGAGUGGACGCAUCACUGGUGUUCGGGUUGUCAUGCCAAUGGCACUGCCCGGUAGCUAAAUGCGGAAGAGAUAAGUGCUGAAAGCAUCUAAGCACGAAACUUGCCCCGA
rnacentral:rRNA from 2 species